AAACUUCCUCAUUCUUUCUGUUGCAGAAGUCGUUUAUUGAAAUGUCUCCGAAAUGAUUCACUCACAAUGGAUUUUACUCGUUGGUUUGCUAUGUUGUGCUCAUUGUUAUGAAAAUCUCAGUAGAAGACCCACAACAGUACUCACCCAAAGUUCGACCUACAAUGCACAGACAGCAUCAAUUGCUAAUGAUGGCGAUGUUCAUACUGACGAUCUCAAUUGUGCUCAUACUUCGCCAAAUAACGAAAAGGCUUGGCUACAGGUGGACUUUGGAGAAUCAUACAGUAUAAACAAUGUCAAAAUCUAUUACAGAAGAGACGGGGAUGGACAUUACAAUUGGAAGCAGUACCGGUUCAGACAGUUCUACUUAGAUGUCUCGAACUCAUCAGCAACACAGACACCAACGUCACUGAGAACUCGCUGUUACAAAGACAACACGACUGCCCCAAACUUACCUCCAAAUAUAAUAGACAUACCAUGUAAACGCACAGCUAGAUCCGUCAUUGUGGAGACCACGUACGACCCACCAGAAGAUGAUAGAGAUGGUGAACACGGGGCGAUCCUUGAAAUAUGUGAAAUAGAAGUUUAUGGAUGUGAGACAACUUGCAGAAAUAAUGUCUGCGAUGGCUUUGGAAACUGUACCGAUGGAUGCGUAGACGGAUACUGGGGCCCCCCUGCCUGUAAUUUCAAAUGCCCUGCAGAUUGCAAAGAGCUAAAUUGUAUUAUGUAUAAUGGACAUUGUAACAGCUGUAAGUCUGGUUACUGGGGAAAUACAUGCAUUUCACAAUGUCCAAUAAAUUGUAUCGGAAGAGUCUGUGACAAGAGCAGUGGUACCUGUACACAGGGAUGCACAUCGGGACGGUAUGGAGACACGUGUAAUAUAACAUGUAGUCCUUGGUGUGUUGGAGGGACAUGCAACAAACAAAGUGCAACCUGUUUUAAUGGAUGUGUGCAGAACUGGUCAGGGUCUCAAUGUGACGAAUGCGACUCAAAUCAUUAUGGAUCUUCUUGUUCUCUUGUCUGCAACUCUAACUGUGUGAAUUAUACAUGUAAUGACACUGAUGGUAUCUGUAGUUUGGGAUGUAAGACGGGGUUCCAUGGAGACGUGUGUGACAGACAAUGUACAAGCAGCUGUCCGUCAGGUUGUGAUCGAUCAACAGGACAAUGUAAUGGAGACUGUCCAGUAGGCAAGUUCGGGGAAUUCUGUAACAAAUCUUGUAACCAAGGUUGUGAAGACGGAUGUAUGAGAUACAGUGGUAUUUGCACUAACUGCAUUGAUGGAAUGUUCGGAGACGUAUGUGAUGGGAACUGUAGCAGUUGCCCUACAGGGUGUGACAGAAUCUCCGGACGAUGCGGUGGAGAUUGUCCAGCUGGCAAGUUCGGGGAGUUUUGUAACAAAACAUGUAGUUAACACUGUAGAAAUGGAUGCAUCAGACUUACGGGCAGUUGUAAUGAUGGUUGCACUGUGGGAAAAUUAGGAGAUUUCUGCAACGAAACCUGUGAUGCUAGACACGAAACGUGUUGUAGUCAUGAUACUUGUGCAAGAUACUGUACACAAUCACCGAUACCAAACACGGAACAUAUGUCCAGUUUGUAUGCAGUGAUUACAGUCUUUUGCAUCAGUCUGCUCGUCAACAUUUUUACAAUAACCUGGAUUUUUAGAAACAAAGCAUGCAAGAGUCAAGAUGUUAAUCAAGAGGAAAAGAAGGACACUGAUUCCAUUUCCACCCCUGGGAUUUAUGAUACAGCGGAAGAAAACGCCGGAUACCAAGAAUUGGGUCAACUCAGCGGACCAUCUCACUACGAUCAUCUCCAAGUUUAUGAUAAGAACCCGUAGCAAGAAAAAAUAGUUUGAAUGUAAUGUUUUUCUUUUGUUCUUUUUGUUUUCAAUAUAUUUUAUACAAAUCAUAUCAUAUAGGUCAGCAUUAUUUUCUUCCUAGAGUGAAAAAAACCCCAUAAAUUAUCAUUUCUAAUUAUCUU
rnacentral:misc_RNA from 1 species